AGGGAUCAUUACAGAGUUCCUGCCCUCACGGGUAGAUCUCCCACCCUUGUGUAUUUUUAUGAUGUCGUUGCUUUGGCAGGCCGCUGGGCUUCUUCGGCCUGGCCACCGGCUCCCUGGGGCUGGUGCGCGCCUGCCAGAGGAUCUCUCAAACUCAGUUUGUUAGUGUCGUCUGAGUACUAUAACAAUCGUUAAAACUUUCAACAACGGAUCUCUUGGUUCUGGCAUCGAUGAAGAACGCAGCGAAAUGCGAUAAGUAAUGUGAAUUGCAGAAUUCAGUGAAUCAUCGAAUCUUUGAACGCACAUUGCGCCCCUUGGUAUUCCGAGGGGCAUGCCUGUUCGAGCGUCAUUUCAACCCCUCAAGCUCUGCUUGGUGUUGGGCAUUCGCCGCUUUCCCGCGGCGGGCCUUAAAAUCAGUGGCGGUGGCCGUCUUAGGCUCUAAGCGUAGUAGUAACCUCUCGCUCUGGAGACCCGGCGGUGACCUGCCAGACAACCUUUUUUACUUUUUUUCAAAGGUUUGACCUCGGAUCAGGUAGGGAUACCCGCUGAACUUUA
rnacentral:rRNA from 1 species